ensembl:lncRNA
AAGGAUCAGAACAGUCUUGGGCCUGGAGCAGAGGGAGAGCACUCUCGUGUGAGUGGGCAUAGGGGAAGUCCAUAUGAUUCACGUGUGGGACGCACAGAGAGCAAGAGAGGAGCCACUCUUGCGUCCUGGGCCCAUGCAGUUUAAAUGGUUGCAGUGAUGUUAAAAUUUGUUUGCAUUGAGACAAGGAGAAAAACAAAACCCAGAGACUUUGAACACAUGUUUCUUAGGUUCACGUCAAGCUGCCUUCGUGAUCCUGCACGAGCCCUUUCAUCUCAUGGAAAAACAAGCCCGAGGUCAUCCCAUCCCACCAGCCCAAGGACUGCCUGAGGAUGACAGUGGACACAAUAAUUUCUGCGUGAGAAAUGAAAUUUGAUGUCUCAAGCAUUUCAAAUGCUUCGGGAGCAGAUAGGUGCUUCUCGGAGAAGGCUGGGUUGUCUGUCUACCGUGAUGGCGAGGUGUUCUUGCUCUCUGAUGUAUCCCCAGCUCCCACAGGCACUGAGGAAGUGUCUGCUGGGGGGAUGGAUAAAUUGUGUGUGACCUGAGUUCUCCGGGGACUCGUGAGCCUGUGUGAACAAACGGGAUGGCCUCAGUGAGACCCUUCGAUUUUCCCUUUUCCUGAUCCUGCUCCCAAACUCGCUGUGGUUGUUUCCAUGGCUCUCACCAUGGCUCACUCUGACAUGAAACGGGUCUUGAGCUUUUGUGGUUUCUUACCUGUUCUUGUCUGCCCCUCCAUCCCCACUGGCACCUGUCACUCAUGCCAUCUUGUCGGGGCCCCUUGUUACAGCUGCUGGCCUCUGAGAGCGCUGUCACCCUGCAGAGUGUUCUGGGGUGACCUGACUGGGGAGCAAGCGGCCCAGCUGCCCCCUCCCCGGGCUGCAGCCUCUGUCAGCUAUGGUGUCAGGAGCCGCCUCGUACUGUUGUAGGGCCCCCUGUUCCAGGCAUCACAACGGUGGUGCUGGUGGCCUGAUAGCCUCUCUCCCACGGGUCUGGCCAUGGAGCCACCCUCCUCCUCCCUGGCUGCCUGCCGAAACCACUUCCUCAUUCUUUGGCAGACAGAGAAAAACCAGAUCAACCCUCCUGCAGAGAGACUCCCAGGGGUGCUGACCACUGCUUCUUCAGAAACGGCUCGGCUGUAAGCCCUGAGGGAGGCCCAGGACUCGGGCUCCGGGAGGCCAGGAGCUGCUUGGCCAGAGGCAGGGACUGGGAGAGAAAAACUGUUGAUGUGGGAGAGAGAGGAGAAAAAAAGCAAGAAUGGACAAGGGGAAACAGACAUUUAAGCGUCUGUAAAUGUGCAAGAUUUUCUAUGUUUUACCUAAUUUAAUCCUCAAAAAAAAAUCUGCAAGGUGGAUACUGUAACUCAUGUUUGAGAGAUGAGGAAACCAAGGAGUUUAAAUAUUAUUUCCCAGAGAAGGUGGCUUAGAUGUGCAGCCACAAAGGGUUGCCUAAGACUGGAUUCCAGAACUCGGCACAGUUGAGAACAGCUGGGGGCAAGUUCUUUUCAAGAACGUGGGAGGAAGGGGCAGGGCAAAUAUUUGUCUUUAGGGGUGGGGGUGGGGGGGAAGCACAGCCUGGCUGCCGAGAAGCGCUGAGCUACGUGUGUCCAGCUCCUCUCCCCACUCAUCUAGAAUCUGUGAGGGGACCAGAGUGACUCAUGGGGGUACCUCCACACGGGAGGAAGCACCAAACCCAGACAUGGGAGCCAAGUGGUCCUGUCACCUUCGCUGGGGCUUGUUCUCCUGGCUCAUGGGACUCCAGCCAGGGCCCUGCUUACCCCACGGGGAUGGAGGUGAGCAGCCCACCAAUACAGUCCUGCUCAGUCCUGGAAAUACAGGUGUACUUUCCAGAUCAUUCUGAGCCUGCUGUCGGACAACAUUCAUUUAGCCUCCAGAAGGCUCAGAAAUGAUUCAGAACAUGAUGGGAAUGAGAUUAGCAGCAAAACCACGAUCUACUCAGAGCUGGAAAUUCACCUGACUGUGUUUCCUGUCCCCAGUAACCACAUGAAAAUGUAGGUUUUAUUAUUAUUCAGGGCUGGUGAGGCCAGCAGAUCAAGAGAUGAGUGUCACUGGAAAGAUGGCGUGUUACUCACAGAUCCCAAGAGAAGCGGCAUGCCGUACCUUGUAGGGUCACACGGGGAAGCACCGGUGUGGGUUAGGGGGCCGAGGAGAGAGCCCUUAGUGUGGUUCCUAUGGAAGGAAUCGGUGAGGCAGGGGAAGUGGGCUUAGUGGCAGCUCGUCUGAAUCAUUUCAGUGGGCUCUGGGGCACGGUGCUGUCCCUGGUGGUCUGGUGUGUGGGUUGGGGCAGGUAAAGGGUGGCCCAGAAUGUGAAAGCUGAUAAAGGAGAUGUUUGGUGUGUGGACUGUUCGAAACACAUGCUCUGGGAAUUGGCUAGCCUGGGGAGGGGAAGUCCCUUCAGAGCAAGCAAGGCCUGGAUAUCAAAGCCUCAGAAACAAGUGGUUAAUACAUUUAUGCCCAGUUAGUCUGACACAGCGCAUCACAUGAUAUGCAAGGAAAUCAGACGGCCAAAAGUAAAGUGCCAGCCAAACAGAGAGGCUCCUAGUUUUAUUCUUUUCAAGGAGAUGGUCAAAUAUCCUUUUUUUUUUUCAGUUUUAAUAUUUUAAGUAUAGCUGAGUUUUAUGUUUGUGUUAAUUUCUGCUGUACAGCAAAGUGAUUUUGUUAUGCAUAUGUUAUACAUUCUUUUUAAAAUGUUCUUUUCCAUUAUGGUUUAUCAUAGGGUUAGAUCCCUGAGUCAGGAAGAUCCCCUGGAGAAGGAUAAUGGCAACCCACUCCAGUACUCUUGCCUGGAAAAUCUCAAGGACGGAGCCUUGUAGGCUACAGUCCAUGGGGUCACCAAGAGUUGGACACGACUGAGUGACUUCAUUGUCUUCCACUUUUAUCAUAGGAUAGUGAAUAUAGUCUGUGCUAUGCAGAAGGACCUUGUUUGUCCAUCCUCUGCUAACCUCAGACUCCCACUCCACCCUCCCCAACCCUCUCCCACUCAGCAACCACAAGUCUGUUCUCUGUGAGUCUGUCUCACAUGUACGUUUGUUCCUAUCAUAUUUUAGGUUCCACGUAUAAGGAUGUCAUGAAAUUUGUCCUCUUUCUGACUUACUUCACUUAGUAUGAUAAUCUCUGGUUGUAUCCAUGUUGGAGCAAACGGCAUUAUUUUGUUCUUUUUUUGGCUGAGUAAUAUUCCAUUGUGUCCAUGCACCACAUUUUCUUUACCCAUUCAUCUGCUGAUGGACAUUUAGGCUGCUUCCAUGCCUUGGCUAUUGCGAACAGUGCUGCCGUGAACAUAGGGACACACGUAUUGUUUUGAAUCAUAAUUUUGUCUGGAUACAUGCCCUAGAGUGGGACUGCUGGAUCACAUGGCUGAAACAGCGUUUGUUAAGCACAGUCAAGCCGGUAGAACAGUCACCAUAAACCUGGGAAGCAUUAGCAGUUGGAAGCUAGUGCUGCACAUAAAUGGAGCCUCUUGCUUGUGGUUUUGUGUCCAACACACACACAAGGUAUUAUCCUGUAGUCCCAAGUUUGAUUUUCAGCCUUUUCCCAUGGUCUAGUUCCUGAGAAGACAUUAAAGUCCAAAGAUUAAGUUACUUUGCCCUUGUAAAUUGAAGUACAAUGAAACCAAACCUCACAGAUGUUGAAAUCAAGGUCUGUGUUUCCUCCUCAUCAAUUCCUUCCUCCCUAGUUCCAGCAGGAAGACUCCUCUGUCUGGGAAGGGGACCACAGUCCAGGCUGCCUUGUCGUCUGCAGGGAAAGGUGUGGCUUCUUGGGCCUGUGUCAUCAACUUGACCUCCCACACACCCCUUUAUUUAAAAAGAAAAAAAAAACUAAAAACCCUUUUCUGUUAAAGUAAAGCCGAUUGAUAUUUGGCAAAACUAAUACAAUUAUGUAAAGUUUAAAAAAAAAAAAAAAAAGUACCAGAAAAAAAAAAAAAGUAAAGCCGAUUAAAAUGUUGUGAUAGUUUCAGGUGAACAGCCAAGGGACUCAGCCGAACAUAUACAUGUAUCCUUCCUCCCCUAAACCCCUCUCCCAUCCAGGCUGCCACAUAGCACUGAACAGAGUUCCCUAUGCCAUACAGUGGGUCCUUGUUGGUUAUCCAUUUUAAACAUAGCAAUAUCUACAUGUCCAUCCCAAACUCCCUAACUAUCCCUGUGCCCCCGCUGCCCCGCCACCAGCCACCACAAGUUCAUUCUCUAAGUCUGUGAGUCGUUCCUGUUUUGUAAGUUCAUUUGUAUCAUUUCUUUUUAAAUUCCACACAAGGGAUGGCAUAUGAUAUUUCUCCUUCUCUAUCUGACUUAUCUCACUUUGCGUGCAUGCUAAG